UACGUAGGGGGCAAGCGUUGUCCGGAUUUAUUGGGCGUAAAGAGCGUGUAGGCGGCCACACAGGUCUGCUGUGAAAACUCGAGGCUCAACCUCGAGCUGUCGGUGGAAACCGUGUGGCUAGAGUCCGGAAGAGGAGAGUGGAAUUCCCGGUGUAGCGGUGAAAUGCGCAAAUAUCGGGAAGAACACCCGUGGCGAAGGCGGCUCUCUGGGACGGUACUGACGCUGAGACGCGAAAGCGUGGGGAGCGAACAGG
rnacentral:rRNA from 1 species